GCACAAGCGGUGGAUGAUGUGAUUAUCGAUGCAACGCGAAAACCUUACCUACCCUUGACAUGUCUGGAAUCUUGGUGAGAGCCGAGGGUGCCUUCGGGAGCCAGAACACAGGUGCUGCAUGGCUGUCGUCAGCUCGUGUCGUGAGAUGUUGGGUUAAGUCCCGCAACGAGCGCAACCCUUAUCAUUAGUUGCUACGCAAGGGCACUCUAAUGAGACUGCCGGUGACAAACCGGAGGAAGGUGGGGAUGACGUCAAGUCCUCAUGGCCCUUAUGGGUAGGGCUUCACACGUCAUACAAUGGUCGGUACAGAGGGUUGCCAAGCCGCGAGGCGGAGCCAAUCCCACAAAGCCGAUCGUAGUCCGGAUUGUUCUCUGCAACUCGAGAGCAUGAAGUCGGAAUUGCUAGUAACCGCAGGUCAGCAAUACUGCGGUGAAUACGUUCCCGGGUCUU
rnacentral:rRNA from 1 species